AUCCAACUGACGAGUCCCAAAUAGGACGAAAUGCACAUCCUGGAU
rnacentral:hammerhead_ribozyme from 1 species